rnacentral:rRNA from 1 species
AGUGAACGCUGGCGGUAGGCCUAACACAUGCAAGUCGAACGGCAGCACAGUAAGAGCUUGCUCUUACGGGUGGCGAGUGGCGGACGGGUGAGGAAUACAUCGGAAUCUACUUUUUCGUGGGGGAUAACGUAGGGAAACUUACGCUAAUACCGCAUACGACCUACGGGUGAAAGCAGGGGAUCUUCGGACCUUGCGCGAUUGAAUGAGCCGAUGUCGGAUUAGCUAGUUGGCGGGGUAGAGGCCCACCAAGGCGACGAUCCGUAGCUGGUCUGAGAGGAUGAUCAGCCACACUGGAACUGAGACACGGUCCAGACUCCUACGGGAGGCAGCAGUGGGGAAUAUUGGACAAUGGGCGCAAGCCUGAUCCAGCCAUACCGCGUGGGUGAAGAAGGCCUUCGGGUUGUAAAGCCCUUUUGUUGGGAAAGAAAAGCAGCAUGUUAAUACCCCGCUGUUCUGACGGUACCCAAAGAAUAAGCACCGGCUAACUUCGUG